rnacentral:tRNA from 2 species
GCCCCCGUAGCUCAGGGGAUAGAGCGGUGCCCUCCGGAGGCAUGCGCGCAGGUUCGAAUCCUGCCGGGGGCACCA